rnacentral:lncRNA from 1 species
CUUGCAUAGAAAAGAAUGUUUAUCCCACAGACUCUUCCUUUUUCCCAGCAAUGUUCUCAGGAUUGUAUUUGUCUCUGCCCUAAUUGACCCCACCCCUCACCCUGUAGUCUUUUCCUCAAUCCUCAAUUCUGGAGUUGCAUAGAGUAAAAUUGGGUCUGAACAGACAGGAAUGUGGAACUCUACGUUCCAGUUAGUUAGGGAGUGUGAUCCUGGGAGCUCCAAUGUAUAAACAUCCUUCCCAAGCAAAUAAACUGUCCCAUGGCCAUGCUGAGCUUUGCAACCUGACUCCCCAAAGGACUGUUUAUGUAGCCUGUGGGUAUGUGCUGUGUUCUUCUGGCCUCACACUCACCAAGGGUGUAUUGGCUUGAGGAUGGGGGCUUGGGGAUGGGGGCUGACAUUGGUUUCCACUUUGGGCUCUGUGGAGAGAGAGGAGCUGCCCUAGAGCUCUUCCCAUGGAGUCAAAAGGCUAAGAGACUGCCUUUCCUCUGCCUUCCUGAGUGGCAAGGUAUGCCAGUGAGAAAAAUGAUGUUCUGGCCUUGGAACCACCUCCCAUGGGACCAGAUGCCAAGCUAUGGUGGAGAAAGGAGGAAAAAACAAUGA